GCAAAAAGCAACACACCUGCAAGCCUGCCAAAAGACACACAAGAAAACCACAAAUUAUAAAAAAAAAAGAAAAAUAUUUUCACAGGGCAUAAGUCUGCUCCGCAUGAGGUUCACCAAAUCUAGAAACGUGCUGAAAAUUGUUUUCUGCCCACGUUUCUAUUUUAAAGCAAGUAGUUCUGUGGUUUAGACCAAUCCAGAUUUGAGCAGGUCUUUGCUCAUGUCCUUUCUUGGAUAAAAUGUUCCUGAAAUUGCUUCAAAAUUGUUUCAGAACUCAUUCUUUACCAAGAAAGAAAAAAAAAAAA